UACGUAGGGGGCAAGCGUUGUCCGGAUUUAUUGGGCGUAAAGAGCGUGUAGGCGGCUAGGUAGGUCCGUUGUGAAAACUCGAGGCUCAACCUCGAGAGGCCGGUGGAAACCAUCUAGCUAGAGUCCGGAAGAGGAGAGUGGAAUUCCUGGUGUAGCGGUGAAAUGCGCAGAUAUCAGGAAGAACACCCGUGGCGAAGGCGGCUCUCUGGUCUGUAACUGACGCUGAGGCGCGAAAGCGUGGGGAGCAAACAGG
rnacentral:rRNA from 1 species